rnacentral:rRNA from 1 species
CCUACGGGCGGCAGCAGUAGGGAAUAUUGCUCAAUGGGGAAAACCCUGAAGCAGCAACGCCGCGUGGAGGAUGAAGGUUUUCGGAUUGUAAACUCCUUUUGUUAGAGAAGAUAAUGACGGUAUCUAACGAAUAAGCACCGACUAACUCCGUGCCAGCAGCCGCGGUAAUACGGAGGGUGCAAGCGUUACUCGGAAUCACUGGGCGUAAAGAGCGCGUAGGCGGGAUAGCAAGUCAGAUGUGAAAUCCUAGGGCUUAACCAUAGAACUGCAUUUGAAACUGUUAUUCUAGAGUAUGGGAGAGGUAGGUGGAAUUCUUGGUGUAGGGGUAAAAUCCGUAGAGAUCAAGAGGAAUACUCAUUGCGAAGGCGACCUGCUAGAACAUAACUGACGCUGAUGCGCGAAAGCAUGGGGAGCAAACAGGAUUAGAUACCCGAGUAGUC